CACCAUGUUUGUUUCCCUUCCUUGUUUCUUCUAACAAAAUGCAGAUCAAAUGAAUGAAUUAUCUAACAGGGAAAUGAACGCUGGAUGUAAUAUUACUUUAAGCCACAUCUGAAAUGAAUUGGAAGAUCAAAAGACUACAUAAUGACAUCAAUUGAGUAUACUGUCUCAUUUCAACUCCCAGCAACCUGACGAAUACAGCAUCAGUGAAGAGCAAAUGAGAUAGUCUAGAUGAAGUCGUGCACUGUCCGGCACAGAGUAACUGUCCAGUAUCUAUCAGCCAUGGUUAUGAAAAUAUGUCUACAGAAAUGCUUUGCUCCUCUCUCUUUGUUUACAUAUUUUUUGCUAAAAUGUAUUCGGUCUCAUUCUCAUGACUUCUCAAUAGAUGGCACACAUCCAAAUGCCG
ensembl:lncRNA